rnacentral:rRNA from 1 species
ACGGGGGGGGCUAGCGUUGUUCGGAAUUACUGGGCGUAAAGCGCACGUAGGCGGCUCUUUAAGUCGGGGGUGAAAUCCUGGAGCUCAACUCCAGAACUGCCUUCGAUACUGUAGAGCUUGAGUUCGGGAGAGGUGAGUGGAACUGCGAGUGUAGAGGUGAAAUUCGUAGACAUUCGCAAGAACACCAGUGGCGAAGGCGGCUCACUGGCCCGAUACUGACGCUGAGGUGCGAAAGCGUGGGGAGCAAACAGGA